rnacentral:rRNA from 1 species
UGGGGAAUAUUGGACAAUGGGCGCAAGCCUGAUGCAGCGACGCCGCGUGAGGGAUGACGGCCUUCGGGUUGUAAACCUCUUUCAGCAGGGACGAAGCGAAAGUGACGGUACCUGUAGAAGAAGGACCGGCCAACUACGUGCCAGCAGCCGCGGUAAUACGUAGGGUCCGAGCGUUGUCCGGAAUUACUGGGCGUAAAGAGCUCGUAGGUGGUUUGUCGCGUUGUUCGUGAAAACUCACAGCUCAACUGUG